UUACGGUCGUAUCACGUAGAAACACCUGUUUCCGUGCGAUUACCGAAGUUAAACAACGUUGAGCCUGGUUAGUAUCUAAAAGGGUGACCGCUUACGAAAACCAGGCG